rnacentral:rRNA from 1 species
GUGGGGAAUAUUGCACAAUGGGGGAAACCCUGAUGCAGCAACGCCGCGUGAGUGAUGAAGGCCUUCGGGUUGUAAAGCUCUGUCUUCAGGGACGAUAAUGACGGUACCUGAGGAGGAAGCCACGGCUAACUACGUGCCAGCAGCCGCGGUAAUACGUAGGUGGCAAGCGUUGUCCGGAUUUACUGGGCGUAAAGGGAGCGUAGGCGGAUACUUAAGUGGGAUGUGAAAUACCUGGGCUUAACUUGGGUGCUGCAUUCCAAACUGGGUGUCUAGAGUGUUGGAGAGGAAAGUGGAAUUCCUAGUGUAGCGGUGAAAUGCGUAGAGAUUAGGAAGAACACCAGUGGCGAAGGCGACUUUCUGGACAAUAACUGACGCUGAGGCUCGAAAGCGUGGGGAGCAAACAGGAUUAGAAACCCUUGUAGUCC